UUAACUCAAAUUUGUAUGGAGUCGGAACAUCUUCCUUUCGUUUGCCGCUAGGGGCGCUGUUUCAACUCCAUACAGCUUGGACUUA
rnacentral:pre_miRNA from 1 species